rnacentral:rRNA from 1 species
UACAGAGACUGCAAGCGUUGUUCGGAUUCACUGGGCGUAAAGGGUGCGCAGGCGGCCAAGUGUGUCAGGUGUGAAAGCUCGAGGCUUAACCUCGAAACUGCGCCUGAAACUAUUUGGCUAGAGUACUGGAGAGGGAAGUGGAAUUCACGGUGUAGCAGUGAAAUGCGUAGAUAUCGUGAGGAACACCAAUGGCGAAGGCAGCUCGCUGGGACGUUACUGACGCUGAGACGCGAAAGCGUGGGGAGCAAACAGG